rnacentral:rRNA from 1 species
UUCCUACGGGAGGCAGCAGUGGGGAAUCUUGGACAAUGGGCGCAAGCCUGAUCCAGCCAUGCCGCGUGAGUGAAGAAGGUCUUCGGAUUGUAAAGCUCUUUUGCCAGGGACGAUAAUGACGGUACCUGGAGAAUAAGCCCCGGCAAACUUCGUGCCAGCAGCCGCGGUAAU